rnacentral:misc_RNA from 1 species
GUGAAUCAUCGAAUUUUUGAACGCAAAUUGCACUCUCUUCGGAUAGUAUGCCUGUUUGAGGGUCAGCCUCAAAAAAAUCGACAUAGUUUCUGUUACGCGGUAACAUUCGUCGGAAAUUGGGUCAUGUUAUACCUUUGGGGUUAAGUGGCUUAAAAUUUACUUUACGUUUUUAAGUACGUUUCUAAUAUUUUAUUUUCUUAUACGUUUAAGGUAUCGAUCUUUAUUAUACGGGGCUGUUGCAUCGGUUCUCGUCAAUAAA